rnacentral:lncRNA from 1 species
UUCCAUGCGAAAAAACUUAUCUCCACACGCGAGGUAUGUGGUUGCGGCUUUAGGCGGAGACUUUCAAUUGACAUUUUGAUAUGCCUUUGCGCACCACACUUUUUUCCAUUUCCUGAAUGGCAAAAAAUGUCAUUCUGAAAAUUCUAACACGAGGCCGUAGUAAGAGGUUCCUGCAAAUGCGGAAAUGACUCAUUAUGAGAGUCAAAUAAUGAGCAGUCUGGGCUGCACUUAUUUUUGCUAUUGGAUAAAAUACCCAUAAGCCGCCCAACGGAGCCACACCAGCCGCUGGAUUGAGCACCCAGUGAGCCAUAUGCGCCACUGGCUAAAGCAACCAUUGGGUUACAAUGGCCACUGGCCUGCUAUUUCAUUUCAUGUGUAUUUUUGUUUUUCGAGCCCUUAUUGAGAGCUGCACAGUAUAAAAACCAUUAAAGGGUUGCGAAGAAAAAAAAAACUGGCGUACAACGGACAAGUUAUUUAAAAUGACGAUGGGUGGAGGUCCUUUGGAUGAACAUUAGCCUCCGUUAUAAGUACACCUUUUUUGACAUACUCUGGAGCUUCCAGCCUCACUGGUGACGGUUUUCGACGUGUAAACCAGACCCGAUUUUUUCUCUUAAGUACAUUAUCGAUGUAUUUUACACAUUCAACAAAAAUCAAUACGUAUUCGAAGGUAGUGACAUCCUCGUCUCGCAUUAAAGAAGCUAUGUGGGCCAUGGAAUAUGGUGUUUGCCACGGUCUUUUUUUGCAAGGAGAUUAACAAAGAUUCUGCUGAGACAUCUUAAUGUAUACCGGUGUCGGCAACUGAUCGACCGGAUUACAUGCAAAAAACACGCGGGGUUAAGCGCAAGCAUUCAUAUCUAACUCAUUCCAUUUUACCCAAGAAUUAGAGCUCAAAUUGCUAACAAACGCCGAGUGAUGAUUCGUCUCGGCCACUUCAUUUGCCAUUUGGGCCUGGCAGCGAGGUCAUUGCGCAUGAAAUUAUGCGGAUGAUUGCGUCUCGGACCCAGAAUUGUUUAUAGGGUAUUAUGGUUAAGAUCGGCGAACUAAAACCAAUGUGGAGUAUAACCAUCAAAUUAAUCAAUAUGCCUGUUUAUGUAGCAAAUACAUAAAUUGUACUAAUAAAUUAAAAACUUGUUGGUGUUCAUGUAACCCAAAGGACUUGCAAAGUUUGGGAGUUGAGAGGGAAACUUGGAGAAGAAGUUGUAAAUAUUUUACGGGACAAAUUUUAGCUUGCAACAAUUCGCUAAUACGAAGCACAGCUAAUCAUAUGUUGCAAGGGACAAUUGAAAAAAUAUUGGGGAAUUUACAUGAGGCGAUUUCACAGGCAACUUUUAGUUGAAUCAAAAGGUUGAACGAUAGUUGGCAGCUGACCCACUUCAUUGGCAGUGAUUAGUUGAAAGGUCAUUUACACCAGGGAACUGUUGCAUUCAACCAAUCGCCUGUGAAAGUAGAAUCAUGUUAAUUCCCUAAAACAAGAAAACUGUUUUAUUAGGAAUUUGCUACGAAUAAUCAAAAAUUUAUCAGCUGAUCAUAAAAAUUCCAGAUUGUUAUUGGUGUUGCGUUCACGUACUUUUUGAUAUUUGUCCUUUUGCGCGAAUAACCAGAAAUGAAGUAACAGAGAAGU